rnacentral:tRNA from 1 species
GGCAUAGCUCAAUUGGCAGAGCAGCUGAUUUGUAAUCAGCAGGUUGCAGGUUCGAUUCCUGUUGCC